UGGCCCCUACGGGGGGCAGCAGUAGGGAAUUUUCGUCAAUGGGCGCAAGCCUGAACGAGCAAUGCCGCGUGAACGAGGAAGGUCUUCGGAUCGUAAAGUUCUGUUGAAGGGGAAAAAGAGCGGAGAGAGGAAAUGAACUCCGAUUGAUAUUACCCUUCGAGGAAGUCACGGCUAACUACGUGCCAGCAGCCGCGGUAAUACGUAGGUGGCGAGCGUUAUCCGGAAUGAUUGGGCGUAAAGGGUGCGUAGGCGGCCUGCUAAGUCUGGAGUGAAAGUUACCGGCUCAACAGGUACAGGUUCUGGAA
rnacentral:rRNA from 1 species